rnacentral:rRNA from 1 species
AGGGCGGCUACCAUGCAGUCGAGCGGAUGAGUGGAGCUUGCUCCAUGAUUCAGCGGCGGACGGGUGAGUAAUGCCUAGGAAUCUGCCUGGUAGUGGGGGACAACGUUUCGAAAGGAACGCUAAUACCGCAUACGUCCUACGGGAGAAAGUGGGGGAUCUUCGGACCUCACGCUAUCAGAUGAGCCUAGGUCGGAUUAGCUAGUUGGCGAGGUAAAGGCUCACCAAGGCGACGAUCCGUAACUGGUCUGAGAGGAUGAUCAGUCACACUGGAACUGAGACACGGUCCAGACUCCUACGGGAGGCAGCAGUGGGGAAUAUUGGACAAUGGGCGAAAGCCUGAUCCAGCCAUGCCGCGUGUGUGAAGAAGGUCUUCGGAUUGUAAAGCACUUUAAGUUGGGAGGAAGGGCAGUAAGUUAAUACCUUGCUGUUUUGACGUUACCGACAGAAUAAGCACCGGCUAACUUCGUGCCAGCAGCCGCGGUAAUACGAAGGGUGCAAGCGUUAAUCGGAAUUACUGGGCGUAAAGCGCGCGUAGGUGGUUCGUUAAGUUGGAUGUGAAAGCCCCGGGCUCAACCUGGGAACUGCAUCCAAAACUGGCGAGCUAGAGU